rnacentral:rRNA from 1 species
ACUGAGACACGGCCCAGACUCCUACGGGAGGCAGCAGUGGGGAAUUUUCCGCAAUGGGCGCAAGCCUGACGGAGCAACGCUGCGUGUGGGAUGAAGGCCUGUGGGUUGUAAACCACUUUUCUCAGGGACGAACACAAUGACGGUACCUGAGGAAUCAGCCUCGGCUAACUCUGUGCCAGCAGCCGCGGUAAGACAGAGGAGGCAAGCGUUAUCCGGAAUUAUUGGGCGUAAAGCGUCCGUAGGUGGUCUAGCAAGUCUGGGGUUAAAGCCCGGAGCCCAACUCCGGAUCGGCCUUGGAAACUGCCAGACUCGAGUAAGGUAGGGGUUGCGGGAAUUCCCGGUGUAGCGGUGAAAUGCGUAGAUAUCGGGAAGAACACCAGCGGCGAAAGCGCGCAACUGGGCCAUUACUGACACUGAGGGACGAAAGCUAGGGGAGCGAAUGGGAUUAGAUACCCCAGUAGUCCUAGCCGUAAACGAUGGUGACUAGAUGUGGCUCGUAUUGACCCGAGCCGUGUCGUAGCUAACGCGAUAAGUCACCCGCCUGGGGAGUACGCACGCAAGUGUGAAACUCAAAGGAAUUGACGGGGGCCCGCACAAGCGGUGGAGCAUGUGGAUUAAUUCGAUGCAACGCGAAGAACCUUACCAGGGCUUGACAUCCUGCGAACCCCGCUGAAAGGUGGGGGUGCCUUCGGGAGCGCAGAGACAGGUGGUGCAUGGCUGUCGUCAGCUCGUGUCGUGAGAUGUUGGGUUAAGUCCCGCAACGAGCGCAACCCGCGUCCUUAGUUGCCAGCAUUUAGUUGGGCACUCUGGGGAGACUGCCGGUGACAAGCCGGAGGAAGGUGCGGAUGACGUCAAGUCAGCAUGCCCCUUAUGCCCUGGGCGUCACACGUGCUACAAUGGCCAGCACAAAGGGUAGC